rnacentral:rRNA from 1 species
AACGCGAAGAACCUUACCUACCCUUGACAUGUGAGGAACUUGCAAGAGAUUGCUUGGUGCCCGAAAGGGAACCUCAACACAGGUGCUGCAUGGCUGUCGUCAGCUCGUGUCGUGAGAUGUUGGGUUAAGUCCCGCAACGAGCGCAACCCUUGUCAUUAGUUGCUACAUUUUGGGUGAGCACUCUAAUGAGACUGCCGGUGACAAACCGGAGGAAGGUGGGGAUGACGUCAAGUC